rnacentral:rRNA from 1 species
ACGCUCGACACCUACGGGAGACAGCAGUGGGGAAUAUUGCACAAUGGGGGAAACCCUGAUGCAGCAACGCCGCGUGAAGGAAGACGGUUUUCGGAUUGUAAACUUCUGUUCUUAGUGAAGAUAGUGACGGUAGCUAAGGAGCAAGCCACGGCUAACUACGUGCAAGCAGCCGCGGUAAUCUGAGCGGGCUGGCAAGGC